rnacentral:rRNA from 1 species
CCUACGGGUGGCUGCAGUCGAGAAUCUUUCGCAAUGGACGGAAGUCUGACGAAGCGACGCCGCGUGUGUGAUGAAGGCCCUAGGGUUGUAAAGCACUUUCGCCUGGGAAUAAGAGAAGUCGGUUAAUACCCGUCGGCUUUGAGCGUACCAGGAAAAGAAGCACCGUCUAACUCCGUGCCAGCAGCUGCGGUAAUACGGGGGGUGCUAGCGUUAAUCGGAUUUAUUUGGCGUAAAGGGCGUGGGGGGGGAAAGGUAAGUUAGUUGGCAAAUCUCGGGGCUUAACCCCGGAUCGGCAUCUGAAACUGGUUUUCUAGAGGGUAGAUGGGGAAGGGGGAAUUUGUGGUGUAGCGGUGAAAUGCGUAGAUAUGAGGAAGAACACCAGUGGCGAAGGCGCUUUUCUAAUUUGUGACUGACGCUGAGGCGCGAAGGCGAGGGGAGCAAACAGGAUUAGAUACCCGAGUAGUC